rnacentral:misc_RNA from 1 species
ACUCAUUGGACUUCUGUAUGAGCUUUCGUAACGUUCGGUUGUGUGACAGUUCAGUGUGGAAGUGAUAAUUCAAAAAAAAACGCAGGCGACAAAAACAAAAUAGGAACUACAUAAUAGAGCUACAGAAAAACAAGAAGAAGGACAAGGACCACAUAGGACCAAAAAAAAAAAAAUAGAUCUGAAGUUGACAGGACACCUGGUUGUGCAUUGCCUUGAGCAAGACGCGCAUAACCAACAACAUGUACUGGGUAAAUGAUUAAAAAAAAAUCGAAACCCAAAAAAAAGGAAGAAGAAGAAGAAGCAAACUCAUUUUUUCUAGUACAUUUGUUGUUGUUUUAGUUUUGUCAAAGUUUAUCACUGAAUUAACUGGAUUCAUUAAGUUAAAAAUAGUGUGAUGUUAAAAAAUACAGUGUUUUCAAUGAAGAACUCACCAAUUACAAGAUCCAGAAAAAUUGCGUCCAAGAGGAUGGAGAACACAGACAAUGUCUUGUUAAAAGCAUCAGAAUUUAUCAAAGGCAGACUAUAUUUUGUGUCUGUGAACUGCACAGUAGAUCUGACAUCUACAAAGACUGUCCAUUAUUUUACAAUAAAUAAAGACAUAAAAUAUGAUAGCUUCCAUAGAGAUUUUGGACCCUUCAAUCUUGCUAUGAUAUAUCACUAUUGUAUGAAGUUGAAGAGAAAAUUAAGCAAUCCUUCGUUACAAGACAAAAAAAUUGUCCACUAUGUUAAAGAUUGUACAGAACUAGAUGGCCAGAAACGAGUGAAUUCUGCAUUUUUGGUUGGUGCUUAUUCUAUAAUAUACCUGGGUUACUCACCUGAAAGGGCAUACGAAAUUCUAACCGAAAAAUCUACAAAAGAAUACCUUAAAUUCAGGGAUGCGUCUAUUGGAGAACCAUACACGCUUAGCCUGUUUGAUUGUUUGAAGGGCAUCAAGAAAGCAUUGGAUCAUGGAUUUUUUAACUUAAGUGAUUUCGAUUACAUGAAGUACGAGCACUACGAAAAAGUGGAAAAUGGGGACCUAAAUUGGAUAGUUCCUGAUAAGUUUAUCGCUUUUUGUGGUCCUCAAGGGAUAACUUAUAGCUUAGGGGAUCAUAAACCAGAAACCUAUUUUCCAUAUUUUAGAAAUCACAAUGUCUCUACUGUUGUAAGGUUAAACAAAAAAGCAUAUGAUUCAAAUGCCUUCAUCGAAGCAGGCUUUGAUCAUAAGGAUUUAUACUUUGUCGAUGGUGGUACUCCGAGUGAACGUAUUUUGCAGCAAUUUAUCACCGUUUCUGAAAAUGCUAAAGGAGUGAUAGCUGUUCACUGUAAAGCAGGACUAGGUAGGACUGGAUCCCUGAUAGGGUGUUAUAUCAUGAAGCAUUACAAAUUUACCGCAGAGGAAGCUAUUGCUUGGAUCAGAAUAUGUCGCCCUGGAUCAAUUAUAGGCCACCAACAAUCUUGGCUUCAAGAAAAGCAGAAACAAAUGUGGGAAACGGGUGAUACGCAUAGAAAGAAACAUGGCAUAACAGCACCAAUUAAACAUAAAACUGGGAUAUAUUCUCUAUCGGUUGAGAACAAAGAUGAAAACUCCAACCCAGAUACUGUUCGUAAAAUAGCUGAAGAAGUGGAUCAUAUGGACCUUCGUGAUUCUGAUGAAGAGUGUGAUGAAGAAUCUCAAGGAAACCAACUUAACCGAAUUAAGUUGCAAAGAGGAAAGAUUGCAAAUAUCAACAGCUGCAAUCACAAACAAAGUGAGCGUAUUCGUAAAGUUUCUGUGAACAUGACAUCAAAUAUCAUCCGCACCCCGGGAAAGGUUACGACCACCACAAAAACCUUUGGAUGUACAGAGAGUAGCCGAGUAGUAACUAAAAGAAUUGAUGGCCAAUCUUUGCGACGAGCUACGAAGAAGAAGAUUACUUCUUCGAUGGUCACUGUAACUACCGCUAAGACUCCGGUAGUGGAAAAGCGACAAGUUAUGAAAAAGAAAGACCUUUUUCAGAAUGUGGUGAAUAAAGCUGUCAAGAAAGAAGAGAUCAACAAUGGGGAAGUUGCCAGUAAUCAGAAUAAAGCUAAGAAACGAGUUUUAGCACGUGAACGGGAGAUGGCAAGAAGAGCUAAGAUGUUAAGAAGAACCCAUCCGAUUGCUUUGACUUAUAAUAAAAUUGAUAAAACCGAGACAGUGCAAACUUCUACAGUAAAGGUGAAUGAAACUCUAUAAAUGGCUGUGUGAGAGACAAUAAAUAUUAUUAUAUCAUUUUAACGGUGUACGGACAGAUAAUCCCUGGACAAAUAAUCCCGGACAAAAAAUCCCCACAAAAUAUUCCUGGACUGAAAAUCACCACAGAAAAUCCCGGUCAAAUAAUCCCCACAAUUUUUUUUGGAAAAAAUGUCCCCACAAAAAAUUCCGGACAAAAAAUCACCAAGAAAUAUUUGCUGCCGAAUAGUUCUCAAGAGUUUUCCCGUGAACGCAAUCAACGCAAAUUCUUUUCAGCCUCAGUGCAUGAGAGUUAUAGCAAUCGCCAUGAAACCGCUUUUCGGCACGAAAAUAAUGAUUAGUAAUUAAGAUUAAGCAUGAAUUGUAAUUUCGAUGACCAAAUUUCGAAUUCCAAUUUCCUAUUCCAACUGGUUUUCCCCAGUACGAAUUCUUGCCGAAAACUUCAAAUCUUACACGACAAAAGAGUGUGUUUUUCAAAAAUCGUGGAAAAUAUGGAGAAUGAACUAAGGCUGUGGACUCAUGUUGUAUUUAUUCGGUUAAAUCUUUUUCUCGUUCUGCUUUGACUGACUAUUUUUAAAACAUUGCCUAUUCGUGAUGAUAACUGCUGGUCUUGAAAACGAUAAUUUCGAUUGUAAUGCAAAAAAACCUGUUCCUUUUUUGUAAAUUUUACUUCAAAAAAAUUUUUACACAUUUCAACUAUUCCAAAAACAACACGUAACAAUUUGUAUCAUGUAACAAAUUUUCAAUUUUCAAAGCAGAGUGAGAAAAAUAUUUAAGCGAAUAAUUGCAACAUGAUUCCCAAAGCCUUAGCUUAUUCCCCAUAUUUUCCACGAUUUUUUAAAAAACACUAUUGCCAUGUAAGAUUUGAAGUUUUCGGCAUGAAUCCGUACUGGGAAAACCAGUUAGAAUAGGAAAUUGAAAAUGUGGUCAUCGAAAUUACAAUUCAUGCUUAAUCUUAAUUGCUCAUCAUUAUUUUCGUGCCGCAAAGCGGUUUCAUGGCGAUUACUAUCUAUAACUCUCAUGCACUGAGGCUGAAAAAACAUUGCGUCGAUUGCGUUCACGGGAAAACUUUUGACAACUAUUCGGCAACAAAUAUUUCUUUUUUGUGGUGAUUUUUUGUCCGGGGAUUUUUUGCCGGGAAUAAUUUGUGAUUUUUUUGUCCGGGAAUAUUUGACCAGGGAUUAUUUGUCCUAUGUUCCAUUUUAACAAUAAUUACUGAUGUCAAUGUCAGCGAGUUAUAUUAACUGUAGAUGGUUUGUUGCUCUUAAGUUUGCCUUAUAUUUACAUAUGUCGUUUUUAUUAAAAGUUUUGUAUAUAGAACAUUGGUGGUUCAAAAAAAUUACAAAAAAAUAAGUUUAAAAUGCUGAUUUUUAUGAAAUACACAUUUAUAAGUCUGAUUUUGUACCAAAAUCGGAAACAGUAUUUAAACAAUAGCUCAUAAGUCUUUUUUUUCACAAAUUAUUGCCUAUAGUGAAAAUAUAUAAGUGAUUUUACUGUAUAUACAUUUUAUUUUAUAUACACUUUAUUAAACUAAAAUAAUUAUGUUUUUUAUAAUAAUUUUUAAAAUUGUGUUCGCCAUUAUUGUGUAAUGGUUUAAUUUUAAGUAAUUCAUUUUUCAUUUAUUUUUGAGUCCGCUUUCUGUUUAGAUCCAGUUUUCUGCUCCGUAUGUCAACGUUGGCCCGCCCAUACAGUGAUGAGCGCGCUAAUAUAACCGGCAAAAUAUCGCAAAAUAUGGAAAACAAUACAUUAUGAAAUAAAAAGAGAUGAAACUAGUAGAGGUGGAAAUUAUCAAUAUAAGCGUAUAAAUUAACAUUACAUUACACAGUUUAUCACCUUCAGACGUAUCGGAGGAGUAUGACAACUGUCGCUGUGACAGGAGAAUUUUAUAAAAUACUCCCGUCACAGACGUCUAAAGAUGGGAAAAUAUGUUAAUUUUAAAUGUUAAUUUAUACGUUUAUAUAGAUCAUUUCCACCUCCAUUAGGUGUAUCUCUUUUUUCUCACAAUGUCUUAUGUUUUCCAUCUUUUGCGCUAUUUUGCCGGUUAUUAGCGCGCUCAUCACUGUAUAUUGUUUCAUAUAUUGUCAUCUUCGUUUUACUUGAUAUUUCUUUGUUGUUGAGGAAUCCUCUAUUUAGAGCCUGGAAUAGUUUCCUGUACUCUCUAGUCUAUUGUUGAGAUCGUCCUUGAUUCGUCCUUUGUUAUUUAUUACUGUUCCCGGGUAUUUCUAUAUGUUUGUUUGCUAUAUUUUUCCUAAUCUAUCAUCACUUCGAUUUGGUCAUCCCUGUCUUUUUUUCUUAUUAUUUUUAUUAUCUGUGUUAAGAGAAGUCGUUGUUUAUAUUUAUGUUGUAUUUUUUUACUUUUGAGUUCCAUUCUUCUAAUUUGUGCUUCAGUUUUUUACUGUUUCGGCGAAUCUGCAAAUACGCAUAUCUCUGCAUUUAUCAUUUCUAUUCUAACAGUAUGUUUUAAAGGAUUUCUUACAUUCUUUCACUAUAGCUCCUUACGUUUUAAAUGGUGGCGAUUGCAUAUUUUGUGUUCUUCGCUGUGCAAUCAUCUAUUACUUCUUACAGUUUGUUCCAGAAUUCUUUUUUCGUUUUUUGUUGCAUCUUCAUCUGAUACCAUAGCAUAUAAUUAGGUUUGUAAUUGCUUCCUUUGUGUCCAUCUCUAAGGUGGUAUAACAACGUACUUGAACAUGUGUGCAUAACAUGUUCAAUUACGAGCUUUUAAGCAAGUACCCUCCUCAAAACAUUACGGUCUUACCAAAUAGCACCCUAAAAGAAAUGUUGUAACUAAAAAGUAUCUCUCUUUUUUUUCUCCUCCUGCUCUCCGUCAUACACGUUGACGUUCAGAUUUUAAGUUAAUUAUUGUAUCAUCAGAGAACGAAAUCUUAUUUCAAUAAUGACCAAACCCACAUUGAAGAUUUCUCACAAAUUUCAAUCCUUGAAUUUAGGGUUAGCAAUCAAUUUUUUGUUAAUUUCCUGCUAUUUCUUAAAUUCGUUUUUAUAUGUAAACAUACACAUAAAUUAGGUUAAUAAGUUGUUUAUUCAAAAGUAUUUGAAUGAGUUUUAGAUCAGUUAAUAUUAGAUAACUGAUGUUUGUAGUUUUAAAAUAAAACAUAGUCCAUGCUGUAUGCUCGCCCCUUACGCCAAACUUACUCAAAAAGAGGUCCUUAUAACAAAUCCACAGGGUACCGGCGGUACCGCGGUCGGAAAAUUGUUUAAAGAAUUUUUUUAAAACAAAUUCAAAAAAUCAAUUUUUUCACUUCGGACAAAUUUUUUCUGAUUAUUUGGGACAUUCUGAGCAAAAAAGUUCUGUUUGAUUUUUCUUUAAAAUUGAUUGUUGUCUAGUUAUACGCGACUUAAAAUUAGAAAAACGCGAAAAUGGUCAUUUUCAAGGCUUUAUAAUUAUAACUCAGUUAAAAAUUAUUAUGAAAGUCAGAAAGUGGCCAAUGCCCCCCCCCCCUUCAAGAGCUUGAAAAAAUGUUUGUCAUUAUUUUAUUACAAAGCUGUUACUUUUAAUUAUUAACAAUGAGCGAUAAGCGCGUAUUAACGUGGCCGUCUCAUGGUGCAUCUCUCUCUCUCGCACUCUAUUGAACGUCCGCCUCAAUACGCACUUAGUAAUAAAAUAAAGUAAUAGCUUUGUAAUAAAAUAAUGACAAAAAUUUCUUCAAGAUCUUGAUAGUGGGGGGUGGGGCAUUGGUCACUUUCUGACUUUCAUAAUAAUAAUUUUUAACUGAGUCUUGAAAAUGACCAUUUUCAAGAUCUUGAAGAAAUUUUUGUCAUUAUUUUAUUACAAAGCUAUUACUUUAUUUUAUUACUAAGCGCGUAUUGAGGCGGACAUUCAAUAGAGUGCGAGCGAGAUACACCAUUGGACGGCCACGUUGAUACGCGCUUAUCGCUCAUUGUUAAUAAUUAAAAAUAAUAGCUUUGUAAUAAAAUAAUGACAAAAAUUUCUUCAGGAUCUUGGACAGGCUUUAAACUUUGAUUUGGUCAAUUUCUGACUUGGCAUAAUACAAUCGAACCCGACUGGAUAUUCUAUAUUCUUCCACUAGCCUUCGUGCCAGGCAAAAAUAUUACUAUAACCGGGAUAUUCUAAUAACCGAGCAUUCGUACUCGGUAGAAACGUUUCCGAUCAUCAAAUUUCUAUUCCUUAAACCGGGAUAUUCCUAUACCCGGUAUUUAAGCCUUUAAAAAGGAUAUUUUCGCGUUUUCCAAAUUUUAAAUCGCUUAUAACUCGACAACAAUCAAUUUUAGAAAACACUCAUAAGAGACCUUUUUUGCGAAGAAUGACCCAAAGGAUCUAAAAAAAUUGUCCGAAGUGAAAAAAUAUUUUUUUUGAAUUUGUUUAAAAAAAUGUUUAAACAAUUUUUUGACCACGGCACCGCCCGGCACCCUGUGGAUAUGUUAUAAGGACCUCUUUUUGAGUAAGUUUGCAUACGGCCUGGACUAACAGUAUGUGCUGGAAAUGUAAGAAAAUAACCAAAGCCUACCAGUGAACUAUCUCAGAAUGUUUUUAAAAAAUGUUAAUGGUAUCUUUAUUUUUGUCCAGUAAUUUAUAUCAUUAACACUAAAUUAUAUAUUUAUAGAUAUUUAUUCAUAAUGGAAGUAUUUAAAUAGUUGAUUAUUGAUUUUUUAUGUCAUCUUAAGAGCUAAUGUUUAAAUGUUCGGUGUACUGUUUAAAGUAUUUAUUUAAAUAUUUUUUUACUUUUUAAAUAAAGCAAUUUUUGUAUUUUAACAUAUAUUUAUGACAGAUUUCAAAGGGCUGUUUUAAUUUUCUAUAUUUGUUUAUUUACGUAGAAUACACAUAUUUAUAUCUAUUGAUGUUGAGGUUAUUAACUCGUAGAAUAAUUAGGUCCGCCAAUUUGUUAAUACUUGAAAGAUUAUACUUGAUGUCACUUUUAAAAUCUGUAAAUCACUUUUAAAUGUACAGUUAAUUUAUAAGUUAAAGUUCGUUCAUACGACACCGAAUCGUUACUACAUUUUACUGUAAAUUUUGGUGCACCUUUACACAAUCAAAAUUUUUGUUUUUUUAUUGUGUCUACAUGAUUUUUUAGAUUUUAUUUUGUUGAUUGCUUAAGCCAAAGAUGUAGUUACUGCAAUUAAAACUAGAGGCCUAUAGUUGGCAGUAUUUGUGUACAUCUGUUUAUAGAUAAUCCUGCAAGAAAGCUACCCUGCAAGACGUACUCUAUUGGCAAAACCCGAAAGAAAAAGGCGUACAAAAAUGUAUGUACAAAAAAACCAUUUUGGAGAGAGAAUAUUCCCUUUUGUUGCGGCUUAUUAUAACAACAUCCGCAUAUGCGCAUAUUUGCAUAGAUCUGGUAUUCAUAUAGCCGUUCAUAUCCAAUUUUCUAACAACAGCUUCCAAAGUUAAAUUAAAAAGUGUUGUUGAUAAGGCAUCACCUUGCCUAACUAUUUUCAAUAUCAAAUGUCUGCCAUAUCUCCAUCUAUUCUCACCAUGGCUUUGGAACCCUCCAACGGCAUUCGUAUAAGUUUAACUAACUUAUUGGGUGUCCCUAACAUAGAUAGUUGCUUUAACAUAUUUUGUCUAUGUACUCCAUCAAACGCCUGUUUGAAAUCGAUAUACAAAUUGUAAAUUGGUAUGUUUAUUCAACACAUUUUUUUUUCACGUAUACCUCUUAACAUUGUAUUUGGUCUAUAGUUGACCUCUUUGGUCUGAAACCACAUUGGUAUUCACCAAUCAUUUCUUCCGAAAACGAUUCCAGGCGGCUGUAUAUAAUUCCUGUUAUUUUGUUGACGACAUUUAAGGGGUUACAUAGGUCCUGCGGGUAAAAAAGUGACUUUAAAAAAAUUGUAUCUCGAAAACUAAAAAUUAUUUUUAUUUAUAAUUGGAACAUGUCAAAAGUAUUAUACUUACGGUACUCUCAAAAAUUGUUGACUGCAAUUUUUCGACAACAGCCCUUUUUUUGCGAUGGGCAGCAUAACUAAGUCCAGGCUCAUCUGAAAUCAAAUAAUCAAAAGGUUUCUUGUAGUUUAUACCUCUGGCUAGUGAAUGAACGAAGAAAUUAAAAAAAAAAUGAAAUUUGAAGAUUUUACUCAAGUUUAAACACAUUUUCGACCCAAAUUUUUCUCAUUUUUUCAAAAAUGACCAUUUUUAAAGUAGUUUUUUUUAUAAAACAAAAACAACUUUACCUAAUAAAAAUUCCUUCGUUCAUUCACUAGCCAGAGGUAUAAACCACAAGAAACUUUUUGAUUUCAGAUGAGACUGGACUUAGUUAUGCUGCCCACCGCAAAAAAGGGCUGUUAUCGAAAAAUUGCAGUCAACUCUACAAAAAUGAAUGUUUUUUACUGAAAUUUUUUUUGAGAGUACCUUAAGUAUUAUACUUUUACACGUUCCAAUUAUAAAUAAAAAUAAUUUUUAGUUUUCGAGAUAUAAUUUUUUUAAAAAGUCACUUUUUUUACCCGCAAGACCUAUGUAACCCCUUAAAACUGUUAUGCCUCUAUAAUUUUUGCAGAGUCGUUUGUCUCCCCCUUUGUACAUCGGAAGUAUGAGUCCUACUUUCCAAUCUUCUGAGAUGACUUCUAAUGUCCAUAAGCGGUAGAUUAGUUUAUGGAUAAGCUUCCAUAGCACAUGUCCACUAUUCUUUAUCAGUUUUGCAGUUAUUCCAUCUGUGCCAGGUGCUUUGUUAUUUUUUAGAUGUUUUAUGACGUUUAUCGUUUCUUCCAAUGUUGGUUGCUCAACUAGUUGUUCUCCUGUGUAGUGAAUUAUUUCUUUAUCUGGGUUUAAGAGCUCUUGAAAAUGCUCCUUCCACCUUUCCAUUAUUUCUUCUUUCUCGUUGAUAAUUGCCCCAUUCUAGUACCUUAAACAAAGACUGUCCAAAUAAUAAAUGGAGUGGGAAAUAUAAAAAUUAGGCUCGGUAAAGUUCAUAUAGCGAAUUGUGAAGACAUUUUACAAACUAGGUAAAAGAUCCAGGGCAAACCGAAAAUAUGAAUGAGAUGCCACCAUAAGAAAAAUGGUGACAGGAAACAGGACAAAGAUAAUGAAAGCAUGGAUAUCAUAGUAAAAAAUGCGCAUCUAUAAAUUGUAAAAGAAAACUUUUAAUGGGUUGAACAUAGAUGUUCGUGUAUAAAUUCAGUCUAUCCAGAAAAGAAGAAAAGUCCCAGAUACAAAAUUCAGUAUUAAAAUAAAAGUAAUGAUUUAAAUCUGAAACCUUUCUUGGAACUACUUUCUGAUAACAUCCUUUAUAUUUGACUUUUAUAAUUUAUAAGCCAAGGGACGACGAAUAAAGAAAGCGAAAAGGAUUCUACAAUAUGCAAUCGCAUUUCAUCUUACUCGUCUAGGAAAAGGUCCAAGAGAUAGUUCCAAUAUUCAAAAUCUGAGUAAAGAUAAAGAUAGAAGUGGAUUCAUCUGAAUCAAAAGGAAACAAACUGUCGUUCUCGUUUAUCUUUACUUAGAUUUUGAGUAUUGGAACUAUCUUUCGGGCCUUUUCCUAGACGAGUAAGACUUAAUGUGAUUUCAUAUUGUAGAAUCGUUUUCGCUUUCUUUAUUCGUCGUCUUUUGGCAUAUAGAUUGUAAAAGUCAGAGAUUGUUAUAAAAUGAGUUAGGUGAGCUAACUAAAUGACCAACAACGAUUAUAAUACUCUCAAUUACAGGACAAUAGGAAAACAUUUUACUUGAACAUAACUGACAUUAUAUUUUCUAAUUUCUUGACAUUACAUUUACAACUUCUAUACUGUCAAUACAUAGAGUAGAGUAUGUACAACUAUAGAGCAACAUCUACUUUUAACGCUGUACAGGGUGUUUCAUUAAUAAUUGUCCAUAUAGUAACUGGAGAAACCUUAGCACAAAAUACGAAGAUUUAACCUAAAACACUUAAAUAAAAUGUGGUUCCUUACUGAGUUACAGGGUGUUUUAUCUAAAAAUUUAAAAACUAUUUUUGCUUAGCAUUUAAAAACUAUUCGACGUAUCCUUUUCAUACUUGGCAAGAAGUAUAAGUACUAUAUAAACUACUAAAUUAUGUUAAACAAACGUUUCUGUCUUUUACCAGAGGCGUACGACGGGGGAAAGUGAAUGGUUGACCCUUUCCAAAUUCUACGCCACUGGCGGAAUUGCUAUUUUAGUUCAAUUUUUGGAUUCUCCAAUACGUUCUAUGAAAAUAAUUCAUUCGUAACGAUACAGUCAUUAGUUUUCGAGAUCUUUGAAGUUAAAAAUGAAACGACACUGUUAUUAUGAUUAAUAUAUUGUGUCGCUUCAUUUUUAAUUUUAAAUAUCUCGAAAACUUAUCAUUUUAUCGUUACGAAUGUAGAGUAUAUUAUUUACAUAAAAAGUAUUGGAAAAUCAAAAAAUUACACUAAAAUAGCAAUUUUGUCAGUGGCCUAGAAUUUGGGAAGGGCCAACCAGCCACUAUCCCCUGUCGUACGCCACUGGUAGUAACUAGAAACGUUUAUUUAUCUUAAUUUAGUAGGGUGUAGAGUACCUACACUUUCUGACAAGUAUGAUUAGGAUACGCCAAAUGGUUUUAAAGUACUGGGUACAAAUAAUUUUUAAAUUUUAAUCAUAUGAAUCAUAAUAUCAUAAAUUAAUCAAAAUAACUGUGCCGUUUCAUAUUUAACUUCAAAUAUCUCGAAAACUAAUGACUUUAUCGUUACUAAUGAAGAGUAUAUUAUUUACGUAUAAAGUCUGGGAAAAUCUAAAAAUGGCAUUCAAAUAGCAAUUCCUCCAGUGGCGUAGAAUUUGGGAAGGGUCAACCAUUCACUAUCCCCUGUCGUACGCCUAUGGCAGUAGCUAGAAACGUUUGUUUAUCACAAUUUAGUAGGGUGUAUAGUAGUCGCACUUUCUGUCAAGCAUGAAAAGGAUACGUUAAAUAGUUUUAAAAUGCUGAGCAAAAAUAGUUUUUAAAUUUUUAGAUAAAACACCCUGUAACUCAGUAAGGAACCACAUUUUAUUUAAGAGUUUUAGGUUAAAUCUUCGUAUUUUGUGCUAAGGUUUCUCCAGUUACUAUAUGGACAAUUAUUAAUGAAACACCCUGUAUAUAGAUAAAGGAUGUUACCAGAAAGUAGUUCCAAGAAAGGUGUCAGAUUUAAAUCACUUGUUAUUUUAAUUUUAUUUGAAUAAUGAAUUUUGUAUCUAGUACUUUUCCUUUUUUCUCUAAGAGAUGUCGCUACAGCGUCUUAAAAGUGGAUUUUAAUCUAUUUUUGAAAUUCCACUUAAAUACGCAGUUUAUUAUCGUCUUGGUUCAGAGGUGUUCUCGUUGUCCUAUUGAAGACGUCUAAGAGACAGAAACAGCUGUCUAGGGAUGGUGGAUAUCCUCAGAAUCGAAAGGAAACAUAAACUGUCGUUCACUUUUAUCUUUUAUCAGUCCAUUCAGAUUUAUUGUGUAAAUUUAUUCCACUGCACUUAGUAAAAAAUAUCGAUUCUGUAUCCCAUGAACGAACGAGGUUUUAUUGAAAUGAAUGUGAUAACUCAAAAUUAUGGAAAUAUAUUAAAAUAAUACCAAGUAACUGGACAUAACUUGAUUUUAGAAUACUAGCGUUGAUUCUAGUGGGUACUACGUUACUAAUAGUACAAUAAACACAAAUGGUUACACUUCAUCAACAAUUAUUGUAGAUUUUUAUGACUGCAUCACAUUUAAAAAAUACUCGAAAAUAGAAACGAGCGAAGAUGUAUAACAUUCUGAAAAAAAAAACAAAAUAAUAUUAGGUGAACUUGAUUUUAAUAAUAUUGAUGGAAAAUACUUGUUUUAAUUUAGAGAUAUAUUAAUAAAACACAUAGUGCUUGUCUGCUUUAUAACAAAUUAUUUGUACCAAGUUUAGACUGAGCAGUGUAGAAAUUACCACACGACCCUGUAGAUAUUUUCACAGUAUUCUACGAACAUCCGAUAAGGACAGCUUCAUUAUUUCAAUUAGUUUAGUUUGAUUCUGUUGUCAUUCACAGUAAUCACUUGUGACAUAAAAUAAGGAGGUAAUGAGCCCUAAUAACUAUACGUUGGAACAAGCAGUUAAUUUGCGAGUAACAUGAAUAAUUACCGAAUUGUUGAAGUUAUUUUUUUUAGGCGCGAUUGGGAGUAAAAUUUCAUAAAUCUGCGCGCAUGCGCACACAGACAGUAAUAGUUCGUUGCUAAUCUUUCAAGAUAGGUAUGUAUGUAUCUGUAUCAGCGCAAAUAAGUCAUUAAAAGAAUAUAUUAGUUUUUUUAGUAAAUGUAUUAUUUAUUAUAAUUUUUGGAUUUGUCUUUCUCUGUAGUAAGAUAAUAAAAUAUUAUGUAUGUAGGUAUAACAUUUUUAUAUGUCUAUUUGUCACAGUGUUGUGUAAUUAUAUCCGAAACUUACGUGUCACUUAAAGAAGCUCGGUGGCGUAGUUGGUAGAGCGUUGGGCCAAUGAUUGGAAGGUUGCGGGUUCCAAUCCUGGACGAUUCAUAUUUUUUUUUUAAUUUUUGGUUGUUUUAAUAAAAAAUUUUUGAAAGUGGUAGAUAAGAAAGUUAUUUUAAUAUUUAAAUAAAAUACAAAUAACCUGUUAAGUAUAUUUACUUCGUUGAAAUUAUAUAAUAGAAGAAUAACUUCUUACGUGCGUACAAAGUACACACACAUUCUUUUUUUUUGUUAUUUUUUAAAAUUGUUAAUAUGGAAUAAUCAACAUUUUUUAGGAUGUAUGGAAUUAUUUUUACGGUUUAAUCCUUAAUUACUGACGUGGAUGUUUCAGGACGUAGACACUGAUAUGCGGUAUGUCAUACCGUUGCCUAUUCUCCUUUAUUUUUAAUACGAGUUUGUCCUAUAUCACUGUAUUUGUUUUUUACAUAACUACGGAAUGAUUCUUCAUACUGCUGUAAAAUAAAAUACUACUCCGAAUAAAAUAAACUUUGUUUUCAAGAAAAUUAUGAACGCAUGCAUAAUAUAUUAAAAAAAUGGUGGAGGUUUAAAAAAACGAAUUACAAAAAACCUAGUAUUCUUAACGAAAAAAUUCUAAAACAAUGUUGAAAGUACUGGAAAGUAGAACAACUGGAUGAACUUGCUGCCAUUCUAAUAUUGAAAGAAUACUGAAUGGACUGUUUUUCACUAUAGUAACAUAAACACUGACACGCGGUACAUGAUACCGCCAGAAAACUUUACGUCAACGUUGCUGAAAGACUAAUCUAUACUAAAACUGUAGCAGUUGGAAUCUUGGACCAGGAGAUCCUGAAAACGGAUGCCCUCCUGUUACCCUGCCUGCCAACUAAAAGCACCCGUGUUCGUCAAGGCACUCCCGUACGUGUUCAGUUAGCGAACGAAACUUCGAAGUGCCUUGCGCAGCCUAGAUGGGUCGUAGAAAUUAUCGGUUCUUACCUAGGAGCGGUAAGGCCGGUCGUACAUUGGAAGCGUAGUCGCGCGACUCGUAGGUAGCGCGUGUACGUGCGACUGAGCGACUGGUAUCAUCCACUGCAGACGACUGUAUACUUUACUUUAGUGUACUGUCAAACUGACUGUCAUCAUCAAAAGAAAGUGUAUUUUUGUGAAUAUCGUAAAAUAUACAUAGAAAGCAUAGUUUGAAAGGAAUAAUUUAUUACACAAAUACAGUUGAGUCCGCGAAUCUUUACCCGUGCGUCAUUAUUUAAAGCAUACGAAAUAAGUCGGAAAUUGAAAUUUACUAAACACAACAGCAAGUCACUUACUGUCACUUGCUGUUGCGUUUAGUAAAUUUCAAUUUCCGACUUUAAAUGCUUUAACGAUGACGCACGGGUAAAGAUUCGCGGACUCAACUGUAUGUAUGUUAUUUAUUAACAACUUUAAAAAGGUUUGUACCUUUGUACAAUGGCCUUCCCUUUAACGGGAAUCGACUCUUCCAUAUAUUGUUGGCGAUUCAAAUUUACACGAAAUAUUUACUAUACUAUUUAAUUACAUUUUUCACCAAAUUGAAAAAAAAACAUAAGUCAUUUUUUAAUAAAAUUAAAGAUUUAUAUAACUUUAUAUUUACUUGGUUUAGAUGUAAGACGUUUAUUAUUGUAAAAAUUUCAAAUAAAAAUUCUUUCUAAAGUUUCUUAUUCCUAAAAGUAUAAGAAGUAUUCACUUCUGUCGGCACUCGCAACGCAAGUGCCACGCUCUUUUUUUUAUUUUUCGUUUGCAUUGUAAUUAUAUAUUAUAAGAUAAUAAUAUUAAAAACUCUAUCACUAGCACCUACUUCAUCUGCAACUUUUGACCACAAUUUCCUUUGAACAUCACGUGAAUGGUCUUUCACGUUUUGUCCCACAAAGGAGACUUUUCAUAAACGGCACUAUAGGUUUUUCGUUAUCAAUUUCCUUAUCGAAAAUAACACAAUUAUUAUCGAAAAUUAAUACAAUAUCAAAUAUUAUAUUUAUUGCAAACCAUUGUAGCAUCAGCAUGCGAUUACCAGCGACUAAUCCCAUUCUAGGGGGAUCGGUCGCCAGUCGCUUGUGGUCGGUCGAGCCCGGUCGCUCAAAGUCGUUUGCAGUGGACGUUGUUUAGUUACAUUUUAUUUGAGGAUUAGUCGCUUCUAUACGGGCGUAUACGCGCUACCUUUGAGUCGCGCGACUACGCUUCCAAUGGACAAAUUGAUUGAUCCAGAUCUCUCUCAUCUUGCCUCAAUUGCUUUCUUUAUCAUGGACUUUCUUUUCAUGAUUUUUAUUAAAAGGUCUAGGAUGGAUUCAAAAUUAUCUCUGCUUUACAUACUACGUCAGGCUGACGUAUCAAGCUGUCGGGCGAUAUCUCUCCUAGUUUUGACCGCAUUCUGUGCUGUUACGUUGCAAGUCAUACAACUGUCAUCUCUGGUUUUUCGAAUACGGAACCCCGAAAAAUAAAAGACCUGAAAGAUUCAUGUCCGGUCAGGAACUACGUAAAAUAAAAAUUUACUCAUUUGAACCUACAUUUAUACCACUCCAUCACGGUAUUAGUUUUUUGGACCAUUGUGCCUUGUCUGUCUGUGCCUCCCAUUCUAUUAGUAAUUGCUCUCUAGUGACAGCUCUCACCUGUGCUAGAUGAGCAUCCUGAGAGUUGUAGAGAAUCUGCCGUUCUUUCGCUGAGAGGAUAAUGGGAAUCGUACCUUCUAUCACCUGUAGGGCCGUCGUCGAAGUAGUCCGGCACGCGCUUUUCACUUUUAGUAGGGGCUUUCGCUGAGUUCUAGUCAUCAAAUCCCCGUAUUUUUGAUAUUUUAGUAUAUCUAACCAAAUGGGGGUUCCAUAUAGGAGGGUCGAUUGUACCACUUGCAGGUAUAUUCUUCGUUUUUGGCUGCUAAGGCCUCCUAUAUUCGGUAUGAUCCUUUGUAGGGCUGCCGUUCUUACUUCUGCCCUCUGGACUAUAUUUGUCAGGUGUUUCGCGAACCUUAGGUCUGUGUCGAUGUAUAUGUAGGUAUUUUGCACAGUUUGUAGGCUUUAUUGUAGUACAGUGGAACCUCGUUAACUCGGAUUAAUCGGGACCGCGGCCUAUCCGGGCUAUCGAAAAUCCGGGUUAGCUGGAGAAAAUGGUAAAAAUUAAUAAAAUACGGUAUACUUACAGGUAGUUGGCGUAUUCCAUGACGUUUUAUCCAUAUAUCCAGCCAACCUUGACUCGCAGUGAAAUUUGGUUCACAAUCAGGCAAUAUUUUAUUCAGCUUGGGUGCUGAUUCUUGAAUAAUUGGUCCAGAAACUGGUAAACCAUGUUCGCGUUCAGCACAAAACCACACAUACAAAGCGUCGUCGAGAGUCUCAUUUUUAGCUUUAUUAGCUUUGCACCGAUUGUCCAAUCUGUCUUUUGUUAUCAUUUUGAAACAAAAUUCUUCGAUUUUAGUUCUAUUUUUCUUCAAAUCGGAUACUGUAGAUGUACCGACACCAUAUGAUGCUGCAAUUGUUUUUAAAGAUUCGCUUUUAUCAAUUCUACCUAAUGCUCCUAGUUUCUUUUCCAUUGUCACUACAAUAUUUUUACGUUUUCUUGCCAUUACGUAGACAAAAAACACGCAAACACAAAAUCUGAAUAGAUUUACGAACGAUUACAGAACGGAAGCGAACAAUACGACUGCACUACACACAAUACGGUCUCAAUCGCAACGAUGUUAUGUUAUUUAAUAACAAUGAAGACUAAGACCAUUGUUUAAAAAAUAAUUUUUUAAUAGUCUUUUUUAAACAAUGCUAAGACAGUUGAAAAUAAAUACAGGAUACUACAGGUGCCUGUUGUUUCCUAUAACACGACAAUGAACAUCAUGUGCCAUGAGUCAUUUUUACUAUCCUGUAUGUAGUUCAAAUUACACAAAUACCCAUUAUCUCUCAAAUAUUAUAUUACAUACAUUUUUAUUGUUGAAAUGUUUGUCUGAUAAAAAUCGGUCCGGGUUAUCGGGGGCCGACUUAUCGGGGUUCCACUGUACUACUAAUAUGAAAAGUCUUUGUUGUGGUCCUUUCAAUAUGAUCACUUCCGUUUUGUUUCCAGCUGGUUCCAGAUCGUUUGUAGCCAUCCAGCUAACGACUUUUCUGCAGCAUGUGUUUACUUUGUCUUCAAUUUUUCGGUUCAUGUCAGUCACCACUAAUAUCGCCAAGUCAUUUGCGUAGGCGAUAAUAUCGGCCAUAGUCAAUUUCUAGCACCGCGUUAUACAAUAUGUUCCAGAGUGUUGGACCCCUAUGCCGGCUGACAGCUUAUGUUCUGUAUUUUUUGCCACUUAACGUAUCUAUUUUUAAGAUACCUUUUAAUGAUAUUAUUGAUAAGGUAUCCUGACACUCGUACUGAUUCCAAUUUAGUUAUGAUGUAUGCCCAGUUGGUAGAGUUAAAGGCAUUUUUCACAUCAAACAUUACUACGACCCAUGUGUUCCUGGUGUUCUUUACAGAGUCAGAUGUUUUACCGCAUCUAUUGCAGACUUAGCUUUUCUGAAUCCGUACUGUCUGUUGGAGAUGGUCUCUCUUUCACUCAGUUCGUCUUCUAGGCGAUUUUUGACAAGAUUUAAUAAUUAAUAAUUUCCCUAGACAGUCGAGAAACAUAUAAGCCUAUAUAAAUUGGCUUCUUUCGGAUUUUUACAGGGUUUAUGAAUCAUCGUAAGUUUCGCUAAUUUUAACUGGUCUGGGAGCCCCUUUACUGUCCUGUAGCUGGUCAUCAAAACUUACGAUGAAUCAUCGUAAGUUUCGCUAAUUUUAACUGGUCUGGGAGCCCCUUUACUGUAUUUAGUGGAGUAUCAACUUGUUUGGUAUGGGUAGAUCUGUACCAAACGGGUCAAAAUUAAACCGUAAAAAUAAUUUCAUGCGUCUUAAAAAUGUUGUUAAUAUCAUAUUUACAAUUUACAAAAUUUAAAUUAAAGAAUUUCGGUAAAUUGGCAUUUUAUUCGCAAAAUAACUGAUUAGUUGUUAGGAGUCGUAUAUAAAGUACUAAGUUCUAGUCGUUUACAUGGCGAAAAUUCAAUUGACGUACAUAUGUACUUUCAUAGAUUGAUUUAAAAGCAUGGAAGAAGUUUUGCUUUAUAAUGUAAACAAAAAAUAUACUCACGGACAAAAAUAUUGCAUGUGCAUGUGGAAUGACAUUUUUGUGCUGGUAUCCUUAGCCCCCCCCCUGUAUCAUAGGAAUAGUUAUGUUUAAAAUUUACACAUUUCUUAAGAUAUCUCGAGAUAGAAAAAAGGUAUCGACAUGCGGUUUUCGGUAUUCUGUUGCUAAUUUGGUCUAAUUUUGUAAUACAGGAUAAAAAUACAUACUUGUAUUUUAUAUUUUCCAAAGAAAACUAGAUUUCUAAAAAAAAUAAAUAGCGCCUUCUAGCCGGCAUAUUACGUAAUAGGCUGUUUCCAAAUUAUAACUAUUACAUUGACGAAAAGAGAGCUGUUUUCAACAAGACCAAGUUUGUAAAAAUCGAUUAAGCAGAACCGGACUUACAGCGAUUUUUUCAUAACAAGGUUCCCACUCACCCCCACCUCUUAUUUGCACAGGUAGACUUAAGCUUGUGAAAUAAAAUAUGCACAGAAUUGUAUGAAGAAUACGAUGAUUGAAUUUCAAGUGCCCUUUCAUUAGGCAAAUUUUGUAAAAUUUCGAUUUCCUAAUUUUUGAUAUUUAAUUACGCCCUCUAGCGGUGGACUUACAAUUAUGAAAAUAAUUUCCAGGCUUUUCUCGGGGCAACUUUUGUUAUAAAAAAUUUUUUCCCAAAGCUGUAGUAUAAACGGUUCCUGAGAUAUGGCCGAGAGCCAUUCUUAUUGGGACACCCGGUACAUAUCAGUUGGCAUUCUCCUAAUCACUUCCACGUGUUCGGUAUGUCCUUUCAAAGCAAUACCGCUCCGUAGCACUGUGCCACCGCCACCAAAACUAACGCUCUUGCUUCCAUAUGAUGAACGCUAUGCCGGAUGUAACCUCAUAGUGAUAAUUUUGGUGGUGGCGGCAUAGUGCUAUGGAGUGGUAUUUCUUGGAAAGGAGAUACCAAACUUGUGGAGGGAUUGGUUAAAUGACAGCUGAUAUGUAUUACACAUAUAAAACAUUUUAGAUCAUGUUUGCCAGCCAUAUUGGAUAGCAAAUUUGUGUUAAUGAACUAUGACGCAGCUCUUCAUCUCGGUAGAAACAUCACAUUCGGAAAAGAAAAUUCCUAUCACACUGGGGGGCCAGCACAAAAAUUUUUAUUUCACACGUUAAUUUCAAAAAUAUUUUUUGUCCGUGAGUAUAUAUUAUCGUAUUCAUUAAAUAUGGAAGAAAUCUAAGUCAGCAUAGCAACAUGUAUCCAUGGGAUAUUCGUGGAUAUUUAAAAGUGACAGAUAUUUUGUUAGGACUUCAAGGAGGUUUUCAAAGUAUUGCCCUUUUGUAUUGAUGGGAUACUAGUGCAACACAAGAACAUUACAUACAUUAAGAAGAUUGGCACCAUAGAUCUGCUUCGAAACUGGUUUUUAGUACAUACAUACAAUGUGCUCCCCUUGAUAACUCAAAAACAGUUUUUCUUUAUUUAAUUUUACUUCAAAUUGCUUUAAUGAUAUUUUUUCAAUUAAAUGGUGCUAAACUAAAAGGCAAGAAAUCCGUUUUCAAGAAAAAUUAAAUGAAAAGGAACUGGCAGCUUGGAACUGUUUUGUAUACGUAGUAAAAUAAAUGGUAAAUAAAAUAUCAGGAAAUCUGGGACUCGUAUUAGGUGACUAUUGCUAAUUUUUAAAAAAUAAUACAAUAGAAGAAACAGAUUUUUGUCGUAACAUAAAAUUCAUAUACGUAAAACAUACAUAUUCAUUUUGUCUUAUCUUAUUUUUAACCUCACGUAAUGUUUUUGGCUAUAUUUAAUACAUACAUUUUAAAUGUUCAUAUUAAAUAAAUAUUAGUUUGUAAAAA